rnacentral:ribozyme from 1 species
AGUUGCAAUUUUGAGACCAUAGCAGACAUGCUCAAUGUGUGGCCCUGUCAGAUUCCAAUGAAUCUGUGAAUUCUGCU